UUGAAGAGCCUUCAGCCAUCUUCUUCCACAGUAUGAUGCUUUUAGGCUGCUGGUUUUCAAAACUACCAUGAAACUUUGGAUGGAGACAAUGGAGAGUGGGUACUUGAUUACUCUGCUUGUGAGAUUCAGUCACAUACAUGAAUUCUUCAAUUUCUCCAACUUCUUGUUUAAUUCCUAAGCCCUCCUUAGAAAUUGCCAAGAAGCAGUUUGCUGUUCUUAUGCAGGAAGUACCUUCUAGCAACUCCUGCUUUAUCAUUUUAGAUGAUUUCCAUCACCCUGUGUUGAAGUAUUUAAAUACAGAUACUCAUUGCUGGUGGUGAGACCUGGAGAGAUGAUCCCACAAAGUUUCAUUUGCAAGUAAAUAAAACCCACUGACAAAAGAUACAGACCUUUGCAACAAACGCAUGCUUCUAAAAAACUCUGUCUUGAACAAACAAGCAUCAAGGCAGGAAAGGUUUGUGGGGAUUUGAGAGAAAUGUUUUAGGGAACAGGUACAAAUCUUCUUUGCUAAAAGGUAGACAGGAGAACGAAUUUUCAACACACACCCAUUUAUAUACUAUAAUAUAAUGCUUCCAUAUGUUUCUAUUUUGUCACCUCCCAAAUGCUCAAAUACAUUAAAAGAUAAAAAGUGAAUAUUACAUUUCUCUGUGGGAAUAAACCAACUGCCCAAGAAGAACAGUUUGUUCUUUUCAAAGACAGCUCUCUUGGCUGAGCUGGAAAACUUAGCAGUUGCUGCCAAACACAACAAAAAUAUAUCCUGAUGCUUGGUCGCUGAUUGCAUUAUCUGCAUAGAUUGGUAAAUCACAUCAUACUUGGUUUACAAACAGGAUCCAAAUUCCUAGAUUACUUUCUUGAAAGAUUUAUUCCUCCUUUGUGGUAUGAGGAAGUGUGAAUAACAAUCAUCUCCUGGUUAGCCAUGAGAAAUACCCUGUAAGAAAUUGUUUCCCUACAUCUUUAUGAUGAGCAAUGAUGUUUUUCCCAAACGGCAAUUGUACACUGUAUCUCUGAUACUCUGGUUUCCCUUGAAACCUUAUAAAUCUUUUACCUUUUCCAUUGUGUCUCUCAACCAUAGGCUCAUAGGAUAUCUGAAUCGACCCAUAAAACUGCUGCUAGAAUUGCAAGACUAGAUUGAAGAAAUGUUUCUCCUUGUAUUUUUAUAUCCUAGUCUAUGAAUUGUGUUACUGUGCAGAAAUCCUAUUUCAGGAGGCAGGGAGCCUGGAGAAGAUGUAAAAGCAAAGCUCAGGGGUGGGUUAGCCCCUGUUACUACACACCCUGAGCUCUCCUAGCACAUUGCAUGAAGGUAAUGCGAUGAUGCAUCAGGCACCAUUUUGAAUACAUGUGUGUAUGUAUAAGUUAUAUCCAUUCACAUUUGCCACUUGUGUUAAUGAGAGGCAGAGUAAAGUCCAAAGUCAUGUAGUUAGUAAGUGGCUUUUAUUUAAAUGUGUGCUAGCUCUGGCUAGUAGAAAUGAAUUACAUAACAAAUUAAACAUUUCUAAUAGGUCCAUUAAAGUAUUAUGUAGUACUGCAUUUAAAAAUCACCUCCAGCUGGGGAGUGGUGGUGCACGCAUUUAAUCCCAGCACUUGGGAGGCAGAGGCAGGUGGAUUUCUGAGUUCGAGGCCAGCCUGGUCUACAGAGUGAAUUCCAGGAUGGCCAGAGCUACACAGAGAAACCCUGUCUCAAAAAACAAACAAACAAACUCACCUCCAAAUUCAGCAACUUCAGACGAAAAACAUCUUACAUGCUUUCUUGAGCAUAUGAAAAAGUUUUAAAAAUUAUUAGCCAACUAUUUAUUAAAACUAGCUCAAUAAAGUGCUUCUAAAUAAAAUUGGUUUUGAUAAAAUGAUAAAAAUGAUCAAAUAAAUAUGUGAUUUUUGCCUGGGUUUUGAAAUGCCUAAUUCAUUAACAUUUGUUUAAGUGAAUUUAUUUGGAGACUGGUAUAUUUAAUUCAUGGAAUAACUGUAAUCUUACAUUCAGUGGGUCUGUGUUAUGGGAUAUUCACCAGAAAAGACUGCUCAUACAUGGGUUUAAGCCAAUAGAAAGUCUUUUCUUAGCCAGAUAGGAACUACAGAUCAUGCUAAUAUAGCCAUGAGGCUUUCUCAAGGUGAGCUUUUAAGCACACACACAAAAAACCCCCCAACAUAUUCUUGGUUGACACUUCAAGAAGCAAGAAUAGUUAGCCGGGAGCAGAACUAAAGAAAAAAGCAAAGUUACUAAAGAGCAUGUUAAGUAUGUUUUGAAAUGCUCCCAGAAUUAUACGGACUCUGAUGGAGUGGGCUUUAUUUUAGGUUUGGCAGGUGGUGCUGCAAACUUACUGAGUUUUACAGACUGAACGGGAAUUCAUCACAAAGUCAGUUGUCCUAAGGUCUGGGGGGUCUACUAAGGUUUGGGGUCCUAUAACAGGAUGCUGGCUAAAUGUUUUUGUUUUAUUUUGUUAAUUUGACACACAUUCAAUCCCCUGAGAGGAGGUGAGAAAAUACCUCUAUAGCAUUAACUGAUAAGCAAAGUGUGGGUGCUUUCUUGAUUAAUGAUUAAUGUGGGAGGGCCCUGCUAACUGGGAGGGAAGUGCUACCUGUGGGCAGGUGGGUCUGUACAAUAUAAAAAGCAGGCUUAGGAAGCCAUGCAAAGCAAGCCAGUGCUCCUACAGGACCUCUGCUUUGGUUCCUGCCUUGAGUUCCUGCCUUGAGUUCCUGCUCUGACUUCCCUGACUGAUGGACUGGGACCUGAGAGUUGUAGGCUGAAAUAAACCCUUCCUUUCCUAAGUUGCUUUUGGUCAUGGUGCUUCUCACAGAAGCAGUCAGCCUAUGAUAAGCAGAGAUUGCUUAUGUUUCACCCUCCCACUGAAGUGUGUAUCUCUUCCACAGCUUAUAAUCAUGGGCACUUCUUCAUUUGUCUGAAGUAUGAGUUCUUAAAAAUCUGAUAAACAUUAUGCAAAAGUGUAUUUAAAAUAUACUUUUCUGGUAAGUAGUAUCUUGAUCUGUUUUUGAAGAAAGCUUGUUAAAAGAAGCAAGAUGUUUCUGCCUGGCUGGGAGGACAAAGGGGAGUUCAGAGUGGCUCUGUACAGAACUCUGUCUCACAGAACUUGCUUCCAAAGCAGGAACUAGUUUUCCACAUUUUCUGGGUCAGAUUCUCAUAAGCUGUGCCAUUCCCACUGUGCUCACUUAUGCAAACUAAACUCAGCUGUGACUAUUAGACAAAAUAUUUUCCUGACAAAAAAGGGAUCCCUGUACAAACUAUGGGAGAAAAUACAAAUUAGCACGCAGAAGAAAGCCAGUCUUUUGUGGUAAUAUACUGUUUUAAUUUUGGGGUCACCUGUCUUGCACAUUUAAGACAUAGAUUCUAAGUUUCUAGCAAUCACAUAUAUCACCUGAAAGACAAAUAGAUUUUAAAAUUCUAGGUUAAAACAGUAUUUUGCUUUCCACCUAUAUGUUCAUUGUUUUUAGCAUUAGACCAGUGUUUUAUC
rnacentral:lncRNA from 1 species